rnacentral:rRNA from 1 species
AUGAAUUAUUCUUGUGGAGAUGAACUUGCUAUAGUUCCUUGCAUUAAACAUGAAAUUGUUGCUAUUGCACCCACGCAUGAUAGUCCUAUUAUCUUUUUGAAUUCUCCUGACUACACUAUAUCGGAGAAGUUUGCACUUAUUAAGAAUAUUGAUGGGUUGCCUUUUACCAUUGCACAUGAUGAUUUUGAUGAAUAUAAUAUGCAUGUGCUUGCUGCUCCUACUUGCAAUUAUUAUGAGAGAGGAACUAUAUCUCCACCUCUCUAUGUUUCCAAUAUGAUAGAAUUGCAAGAAACUGUUUAUACUAUGCAUUGGCCUUUACUAUGUGUGCAUGAAUUGUUCUUUUAUGACAUGCCGAUGCAUAGGAAGAUAUUUAGACUUCGUCAUUACAUUAUAUAUCUUACCUUGUGCUCACCACUAAAUUACAAAUCAUUGUUAACUAAAAUUGGCUUUGAUAUACCUUGGGAUCCGGGUGGAUCCAUUACUUGA